AUCAUAUCGUCAUAUCAUAGAUCGAGGGCUAUGGAUCAUCCAACAUUCAUCCACAUCAACAUUUAACAUAUGCAAUGCAACAUAUUCGUGAAUUCUAAUGCAAACAACCUAAUUCAUCACAUGGCAUUCAUGAUGCGUGAAUCAUGCUAAAAAGUUAAUCAUUUGCUUUAAAACAUAAUGAGAUAUUCCACUCACCUCUGGAUAGCUCUGACCAGACACUGGGGCAACAGACUCACUGCUGGGGUCCUCGGUUCCUC
rnacentral:lncRNA from 1 species